GGAUAUUAUUUUAAUUAAAAUACCUCUUUUGCGUAGAGGAGAUGUCUUUGAUGGCAUAUCUUA
rnacentral:tRNA from 1 species